ACCAAUGUUCGGGCCCCUCUGGCGAGAGCUGCCGGCUUUCUCGUGAUGUCGAACGGAUCAC
rfam:Fulvimarina pelagi HTCC2506 scf_1100011000323 genomic scaffold, whole genome shotgun sequence.